UACGUAGGUGGCAAGCGUUGUCCGGAUUUACUGGGCGUAAAGAGCGCGCAGGCGGUCGAUCAAGUCGCGUGUGAAAGCCCCCGGCUCAACUGGGGAGGGUCACGCGAUACUGAUCGACUCGAAGGCAGGAGAGGGUAGUGGGAAUUCCCGGUGUAGUGGUGAAAUGCGUAGAUAUCGGGAGGAACACCAGUGGCGAAGGCGACUACCUGGCCUGUUCUUGACGCUGAGGCGCGAAAGCUAGGGGAGCAAACGGGG
rnacentral:rRNA from 1 species